UUUGUACCACGAAAGCAGUGUUCAGUUCAGUCUUGGUGCUUCAUGUGUCUGCAGAACCUGGCAUCAGCAGGGAUGAUUGCAUGUAUAUCAGUGCAAAGGGAAGCUAGAUCUUCUGAGAGCUGUCUGGAUACACUUCAAAUACCAACCCAUAUCGUCAAGGUACAUCUAUAAGUGUGAAACGUGUUCAAAAGGGGAAUGUUUUCCACUGCCUGAAAAGAGACAAGCUCUGGAAGAGAGUACUGGAGCACCUCUUCCAGAUGGCUGAUGAAUCAGAGCUCUUCAGUCUGAGCCAGGAACAGACUUGUGCUGCACCCAUGCCGAGAUUCUGGCAUGCAUUAAUGAUUUUGCCAUGGAAAGCGAGAAAACUUCCAUGGAUCAACAAAUGAAGUAUUAAGAAGUAUAUGAAACAAGUUCAUCCACAAGUAUGGAUCAUCAGAGCAUCUGCUUUGCUGUAGAGAUGUUUCUUAUAGCUUCCGUGAAUUUUCAUGCACUUAGAAUAUAACAAGCAUGGUGACUUGUAGGCUUGCUAGCUCUCCAGAUCAUUGAGCAACUCUGGUCUAUGAUGGAAUGACGACACUUCUGACCGUUAACUUUUGCCUACAUGAAAACUCACCCAGUUUUUGCUGAUUUUCUGAUCCGUGAAAAAAACAUGACCAGCUUUGCCAGAAUUCUUGUGUGUUUUUUUCUUAAGCCCUGGAGAAAUUUAUUUAAAAUAAAUUAAUUGGUUCUUGUUGGCCUGCAAAUAUAUUGACACCCUAGGGGAGAGUUUACAUUUCCAUGCAAUGCGAGUGAUGUAAGCGAAUC